UACGUAGGGUGCGAGCGUUGUCCGGAAUUAUUGGGCGUAAAGAGCUCGUAGGCGGUGUGUCACGUCGGCCGUGAAAACCUGCAGCUUAACUGUGGGCUUGCGGUCGAUACGGGCAUCACUGGAGUUCGGCAGGGGAGACUGGAAUUCCUGGUGUAGCGGUGAAAUGCGCAGAUAUCAGGAGGAACACCGGUAGCGAAGGCGGGUCUCUGGGACGAUACUGACGCUGAGGAGCGAAAGCGUGGGGAGCAAACAGG
rnacentral:rRNA from 1 species